rnacentral:rRNA from 1 species
UAGUGGCGAACGGGUGAGUAACACGUGGGCAAUCUGCCCUUCACUCUGGGACAAGCCCUGGAAACGGGGUCUAAUACCGGAUAACACCUGCCCGGGCAUCUGGGUGGGUUAAAAGCUCCGGCGGUGAAGGAUGAGCCCGCGGCCUAUCAGCUUGUUGGUGAGGUAGUGGCUCACCAAGGCGACGACGGGUAGCCGGCCUGAGAGGGCGACCGGCCACACUGGGACUGAGACACGGCCCAGACUCCUACGGGAGGCAGCAGUGGGGAAUAUUGCACAAUGGGCGAAAGCCUGAUGCAGCGACGCCGCGUGAGGGAUGACGGCCUUCGGGUUGUAAACCUCUUUCAGCAGGGAAGAAGCGAAAGUGACGGUACCUGCAGAAGAAGCGCCGGCUAACUACGUGCCAGCAGCCGCGGUAAUACGUAGGGCGCAAGCGUUGUCCGGAAUUAUUGGGCGUAAAGAGCUCGUAGGCGGCUUGUCACGUCGGGUGUGAAAGCCCGGGGCUUAACCCCGGGUCUGCAUUCGAUACNGGGCUAGCUAGAGUGUGGUAGGGGAGAUCGGAAUUNCU